GUGCUUACACAUGCAAGUCGAACGAUGAACCGCUUUCGGGCGGGGAUUAGUGGCGAACGGGUGAGUAACACGUGGGCAAUCUGCCCUGCACUCUGGGACAAGCCCUGGAAACGGGGUCUAAUACCGGAUAUGACUGUCNNNCGCAUGGUGGAUGGUGUAAAGCUCCGGCGGUGCAGGAUGAGCCCGCGGCCUAUCAGCUUGUUGGUGAGGUAGUGGCUCACCAAGGCGACGACGGGUAGCCGGCCUGAGAGGGCGACCGGCCACACUGGGACUGAGACACGGCCCAGACUCCUACGGGAGGCAGCAGUGGGGAAUAUUGCACAAUGGGCGAAAGCCUGAUGCAGCGACGCCGCGUGAGGGAUGACGGCCUUCGGGUUGUAAACCUCUUUCAGCAGGGAAGAAGCGAAAGUGACGGUACCUGCAGAAGAAGCGCCGGCUAACUACGUGCCAGCAGCCGCGGUAAUACGUAGGGCGCAAGCGUUGUCCGGAAUUAUUGGGCGUAAAGAGCUCGUAGGCGGCUUGUCACGUCGGUUGUGAAAGCCCGGGGCUUAACCCCGGGUCUGCAGUCGAUACGGGCAGGCUAGAGUUCGGUAGGGGAGAUCGGAAUUCCUGGUGUAGCGGUGAAAUGCGCAGAUAUCAGGAGGAACACCGGUGGCGAAGGCGGAUCUCUGGGCCGAUACUGACGCUGAGGAGCGAAAGCGUGGGGAGCGAACAGGAUUAGAUACCCUGGUAGUCCACGCCGUAAACGGUGGGCACUAGGUGUGGGCAACAUUCCACGUUGUCCGUGCCGCAGCUAA
rnacentral:rRNA from 1 species